GUUUCCUUAAGAGCCUCCAGCUGUUCUGCAUUUGGGGUUGAGUGCUCCUCACUGCCCUCCCUGCUGCUCCUGCUUUAGUCCCAGGGAGCUCAGUGUAAGCAGCUGUGCUUGGAGGAGCUGCCCUGUUUUGGCAGGAGCAGAUGAAACUGGAUUUAUGGAUAAAAACGGCCAAAUGACAUCUGAAAAUUUUGUUUCCCUUUGAAAUUCUUGAUGCAUUUCAGCAUCUCCAGGAGGGCAUCUCCUCUCUUGUGUUGCCAGGACCUGGCAGCCAUUCAGGACUGCUUCUAUUGUAUUUACGUGGAAUUUGGUCACCUGUGGCUUCAGGCAGCCCAAAUCUCUCAGGAUGUGCAGGACAGGAGUGACCCUUACCACGCUGCCAUUGUUCCUGCCUGCCUCAUCUGUCCCUAUGGAUCUGGAGCUGACUGUGGCAUGUUUAGAAGUGGAACUCAAAAGCCAAGGGUGGCUGUGGUGGUUCUGGCAGUGGCCCAGAUCACCUUUAUGGACUGAGAGGUGAAAUCACCAAAGCUGUGCUUGGAUGGUGCAUCCCUGUCUCCUCUCCAUGGUUUGGUCAUGGCUUUUAGCAGCUCUGGACUGAAUUUGGCAGAACUUUCCUCAUCCACCCCUGCUGGGUCAGUCAGGCAGUUUGGCAACUUCUGCUCUUUUUUCCUUUGGGAAUUUGCACUUUGUCUUGGAGCUUCCCAGGGUCUGUCCUUGCUUGCAGGAAUUCAGAGUGGUCGAUAUCUUGCUGGCACAACCCACAGGCUCUCCCAGCUGCUCCUGGGCAGAGCUGCUGGCAGCAGC
rnacentral:lncRNA from 1 species